CCUACGGGAGGCAGCAGUGAGGAAUAUUGGUCAAUGGCCGGAAGGCUGAACCAGCCAUGCCGCGUGAAGGUCAGUGCCCUUUGGGCGUUAAACUUCUUUUGUGCGGGAGCAAUAAUGGUCACGUGUGGCCAGAAGAGAGUACCGUACGAAUAAGCAUCGGCUAAACCCGUGCCAGCCGCCGCGGGUAUUCGGGGGAUGCAAGCGUUAUACGGAUUUAUUGGGGUUAAAGGGUGCGUAGGCUGGGGGGUAAGUCAGCGGUGAAAUGCCCCCGCUCAACGGGGUGAAGUGCCAUUGAUACUGCCGUGCUGGAGUGCGGAUGCCGUAGGAGGAAUGUGUGGUGUAGCGGUGAAAUGCAUAGAUAUCACACAGAACACCGAUUGCGAAGGCAGCUCACGAAUCCGCGAUUGACGCUGAUGCACGAAAGCGUGGGUAUCAAACAGGAUUAGAUACCCGUGUAGUC
rnacentral:rRNA from 1 species